ACACACAAUGUGUCCUCCUUGCGACACUCGAGCAAUAUGAAGAGAAUCUUAGCCGUGGCGGCGAGUGUAGUCGCAGUGACGACGGCGCUUCAGGGUCCAUGCGG
rnacentral:ribozyme from 1 species